GACGCACCGUGCAAACGUUAUUCGGAUUCACUGGGCUUAAAGGGCGCGUAGGCGGGCCAUCCAGUCAGGGGUGAAAUCUUUCGGCUCAACCGGAAAAGUGCCUUUGAUACUGAUGGCCUCGAGGGAGGUAGGGGCAUGCGGAACUUCCGGUGGAGCGGUGAAAUGCGUAGAUAUCGGAAGGAACGCCGGUGGCGAAAGCGGCGUGCUGGACCUCUUCUGACGCUGAGGCGCGAAAGCUAGGGGAGCAAACGGG
rnacentral:rRNA from 1 species